rnacentral:lncRNA from 1 species
CUCACGUGGUGGUUUGGCGUGAAGUAAACUCUAAAGAUGUACCUCGGGAGUUACCCUACGUGCCUCUCCAACCGAGGUAAGAAUAUAAUGGGGUUACCGUGCCCCUCUAAUAGGCUGGUCCACGAAACCCGCCCACUGCAGCAAGCUAAACCCACCAAUUCAAUAAAAUCUCAACCGCAUGACAUGGCAAUUAUAUCACAAUCCAGCCUCU